rnacentral:lncRNA from 1 species
GAGCCUUCUUAGAAUCUAUUCGUACCUUCAAGAACCUUUUGGAACCUUCUUUACUUAUAUGUCCAUGACAUCACCUCUUUUUCUACCUUCGAGGUCUUGAAGAAGCUAUGUUGCAGCAAGCUAGUAUAUACAUAAGAAGUUUAAGAUUUUUCGCAUGGUGUUUGCUAUAUAUUCCAGUUAUUUUUUAUAAAGUAAAUAGUUUAUAGGCCUUUGUAGCCAUCAAUAGUACCUCAAGCCUUCUACUUGUGACUAAGCAUGAACUUUGGAAUCUUCAUUAUGGAAUUUUUCUACAAACACUCUUUUUGUACAUCCUUCAUAGUUAGGUUCUACUUCAAACACAAUUACCAAUGACCUAU